UGAGCAACCUGCCCCUGGCUCUGGGAUAACUCCGGGAAAUCGGAGCUAAUACCGGAUACGAGACCGAUUGGCAUCUUUACGGUCUGGAAAGUUUUUCGGCCAGGGAUGGGCUCGCGGCCUAUCAGCUUGUUGGUGGGUAACGGCCCACCAAGGCGACGACGGGUAGCCGGCCUGAGAGGGCGACCGGCCACACUGGGACUGAGACACGGCCCAGACUCCUACGGGAGCAGCA
rnacentral:rRNA from 1 species